rnacentral:rRNA from 1 species
CUCAUUCAAAGAGUGCGUAAUAGCUCACUGGUCGAGUGAUCCUGCGCCGAAGAUUUCCGGGGCUAAAACUUACUACCGAAGCUACGGCAUCAGUAAUGAUGGGUAGGGGAGCUUCCCAUACGGGUUGAAGCAUGACCGUAAGGACAUGUGGACAGUAUGGGAGUGAGAAUGUUGGCAUGAGUAGCGAGAUGUGGGUGAGAAUCCCACAGGCCGUAAACCCAAGGUUUCCAGGGGAAGGUUCGUCCGCCCUGGGUUAGUCGGGACCUAAGCUGAGGCCGAAAGGCGUAGGUGAUGGACAACAGGUUGAUAUUCCUGUACUACCGAUAACCGUUUGAGAGAAGGGAUGACACAGUAGGAUAAGCUAAGCACACUGUUGGUUAUGUGUGCCCAAGCAUUGAGGCAGUCAAAGUAGGCAAAUCCGCUUUGAUAAUGCUGGGAUGUGAUGGGGAGCGAAAUUUAGUAGCGAAGUAGCUGAUUUCACACUGUCAAGAAAAGUCUCUAUCGAGGUUAAAGGUACCCGUACCGCAAACCGACACAGGUGGGUGAGGAGAGUAUCCUAAGGCCAGCGAGAGAACUGUUGUUAAGGAACUCGGCAAAAUGACCCCGUAACUUAGGGAUAAGGGGUGCCACCAUCAGGUGGCCGCAGAGAAUAGGCCCAAGCGACUGUUUACCAAAAACAUAGGUUUCUGCUAAGUCGCAAGACGAUGUAUAGGAGCUGACGCCUGCCCGGUGCUGGAAGGUUAAGGGGAUCUGUUAGAGCAAUCGAAGCAGUGAACUUAAGCCCCAGUAAACGGCGGCC